GGGCAGGUGACCGAUUGGUAAUGGUGGUUCUCUGUAAAAGAAUUGGUUUAUAACCGUUAGAGGUUCGAUUCCUUUGCUGCUCA
rnacentral:tRNA from 1 species